CCCAAACUUUUCAGAAGUCUAUAAAUUCCAUUUUGUGAAAAGUACAAGACUGCCAAAAGUUUUCCAGGUCACUAAAUUUCAUUGAGUACAUUACUUUUAACACUGGAAUUCAGAUCACAUAACUUCCAAUCCUACUCAUGCUAUUUGAUCACCAUGUAAUUGUAGGAAGGAUAGCAGAUUGAACCUACUUGGAAUCUUGAAUUUUUUUAAUUGAUUACACAAUAAAUCACACCACUUAAUGUAGCCUAAUGACACUAGUUAGCUCAGCUUAGAACUAUAAUAACAAUGGAUAAAGAAUCAAGAAUAUCUGAGUACUAAAGUGAUAAAGCAAAUACCUUCAUCUUUAGCGAAGGAUCAGUCACAGGUCGCAAAAAGAAUUAGAGAGCAACACAAACAAGUUGCAGUGCUGCAUAUGGUUUUUAUUUCCUCUGAUUUUCUUCUCUAUUAUCUCUACCAGCUGCUACCUGCAAUCAGAUUCUGCAAUAUGGGUGCAAAAAUGAGCCUGCUAGCAUCACAGGGGUUCACCCUGUCCCUUGUCGUGAUAAUUUUCUCAGAAGUCCUGUCCCUACAUAUGGUAAGUUGAUGGCUGUGUGUGUUUAUGCAAUUCAUUUAAUGUAAUUACAUGGGCAGAUUUUGCUUGCAGCUCUUAUUAAAUGGAAAUUUGGAACAUCUGGAGACGUGACUUAAAUGUCACAUUGGUAUGCAGGUAUAGUUGUGGCAUGUAUCUGAUACUUUGUUCCUGCUUUCGCAGUGCCAAGUGAGAUCCGGUCAGCUGAGCAAAGCAUCGCACUCUCAGUUAACAUGCUUUUCGCCUUCUUAAUUGUUCAAUUGUUUCUUCCUAUGGGUUAACAUGUUUUUCGCCUUCUCUAUUGCUCAAUUGUUUCUUCAUGAAAUGUGGCUUGUUCAUCUUCUUUGCGAGUUUCGUGGCAAUUAUGACUUCUUCAUUUAUUCCUUUCUUGCCUGAAAGGAAGCACGUACCAAUUGAAGAGAUGUAUAAAGUGUGGAAACAACAUUUGUUUUGGAGGAAAUCCAUGUCUGUAGAUGAUCACCGAGCAAAUGCCACCUCCUAUGGAGAACCAUACUUCAGGCAUCCAACCGGAAGGCAUUUUGUGUUAAAGCUUCAGAGUAGUCGUUUUCUCCAACUCGAAACAUGUUAACUGCCGUGGAGAGUAAUUUUUUUUUAAAAAAAAAAUGUCAUAUUAAUUUGUUCAUGUCAUUUUUGUAAUAUAAUUGACGUGUUGUUAAAUUUUCAUGUCAUAUUAAAUGUGAAAAGAUUCAUAUUAUGAUUAUAA